rnacentral:rRNA from 1 species
GACGAACGCUGGCGGCGUGCUUAACACAUGCAAGUCGAACGGAAAGGCCCUGCUUGCAGGGUACUCGAGUGGCGAACGGGUGAGUAACACGUGGGUGAUCUGCCCUGCACUUCGGGAUAAGCCUGGGAAACUGGGUCUAAUACCGGAUAGGAGCCAUUUUUAGUGUGAUGGUUGGAAAGUUUUUUCGGUGUAGGAUGGGCUCGCGGCCUAUCAGCUUGUUGGUGGGGUAAGGGCCUACCAAGGCGGCGACGGGUAGCCGGCCUGAGAGGGGGGACGGCCACAUUGGGACUGAGAUACGGCCCAGACUGCUACGGGAGGCAGCAGUGGGGAAUAUUGCACAAUGGGGGCGCGCGUGAUGCAGCGACGCCGCGUGGGGGAUGACGGCCUUCGGGUUGUAAACUCCUUUCGCUAGGGACGAAGCUUUUUGUGACGGUACCUAGAUAAGAAGCACCGGCAAACUACGU